rnacentral:miRNA from 1 species
GGUUAAUGUUUUGAGUGUUACAGCAUUGUAUUUUAGUACCUAUUAAUCCCCUCAGGCUGUGGCUCUCAACACACACAUUAGUGACAUGAAGGAGGGGAUUAAUAGGUACUAAAAUACAAUGCUGUAACACUCAAAACAUUAA